CGUUCUAUGGCCGAAUUGGUAAAGGCAUCGAACGAUCAUAGGCGAGGUUGUGGGUUCGAGUCCCGCUGGAACGG
rnacentral:tRNA from 1 species